UAGGGUUCUCUGCUACCUUUAAUCACUGAGAAAUUUGUUAUUGUCCUCGUCGCUCCUCUCUCAACACUCUUCAAACUCCAAUCAACAAAAUAAAAAGUACAAGAAAAUCUAAAGACUGGCUAUUUCAGAUAACACAAGUGUGCCAAGAUUUGCCAUGAGACUUUAAGAACAGUUGUACUCUGCUCAUCUGCCCUUAUAACCUUGUUCGU